GUCCAGACUCCUACGGGAGGCAGCAGUGGGGAAUAUUGCACAAUGGGGGAAACCCUGAUGCAGCGACGCCGCGUGAGCGAUGAAGUAUUUCGGUAUGUAAAGCUCUAUCAGCAGGGAAGAAGAUGACGGUACCUGACUAAGAAGCCCCGGCUAACUACGUGCCAGCAGCCGCGGUAAUACGUAGGGGGCAAGCGUUAUCCGGAUUUACUGGGUGUAAAGGGAGCGUAGACGGCGAUGCAAGCCAGAUGUGAAAGCCCGGGGCUCAACCCCGGGACUGCAUUUGGAACUGUGUGGCUGGAGUGUCGGAGAGGCAGGCGGAAUUCCUAGUGUAGCGGUGAAAUGCGUAGAUAUUAGGAGGAACACCAGUGGCGAAGGCGGCCUGCUGGACGAUGACUGACGUUGAGGCUCGAAAGCGUGGGGAGCAAACAGGAUUAGAUACCCCUGUA
rnacentral:rRNA from 1 species